GUCAAGUUAUAGAGGCCCAAAGUAGGCAUCACGAACUGCUCUUCACGAAGAACAGCUCUGAUAGCUACUUUGAUGGCUAAUUUCUCCCAGAUCUGAUGUUGUUUAGAAGUAAUGAUUGUUGGUUAUUGUAGUCUGGUAUUUCGUCUACAAGAUCCAAGUCAUAGAUUUCCCAGAUUCGUUAAGAGCACAAAGUUAUUCACGGUCAAAGUAGUCCCCUCACACGCUGCUCUGACAGUGUUCUUGAGAUGAAGAACACCUAUAGCGACGGUUCUGUCACUAUAGGCCCCUUUGGCGAC
rnacentral:lncRNA from 1 species